AGCCCUGAGGUGUCGUACAUAUCGGGUUGCAAACCCGAAGAAGCAGACUAACCCCCUGCCGGGGCUU
rnacentral:tRNA from 1 species